rnacentral:lncRNA from 1 species
GGGAGAGAGAGUGUAGAGAGAGCGAGACGAUGGUGCUCUGAUGAUUGAGUGAAGCCAUGGUGAGAAGUGCCUCUGGCCAGAAGGGCUUGGGAUAGAGUGAAAGAAGAUGAAGAAGCCAUUGUUUUGUUUUGAGAGAGAGAGAGAGAGGUUGAGCUCGCCUUCUGAUCGUGUUUCUUGUGUCAAGGGUGAUUGAGUUCGUUGAUAUAAUCGAGCCUUUUGUUCGCGUCAAGACUCAUUUAGUUAGAUAAAGAGUGAAUAACAUUUGUAUUCCCAAUUUUUCAUUAUUUCUAAAAUGGAGCACGUUUCUAUAUUGUUAUUAAAUAAGUCCUGAACCUCGAUUGAAAUACCCGAUUCAAAACAUCAUACUUCUUUGUACAAUUCUAAAAUAUGUUACCAAUUCACUGACUAAUCUUUCAUUGUUUAAGUUAAAGAGUAAUGAUACAGCCACAAACUCUUGUACAAAUUUAUUUUGUACAAACUGACGUGGCAUUAAUUCAUUGGUUAAAUGAAAAUAUAAAAUAAUAAAAACAAAUCAUGAGGGCCAAGUGAUAUUUAAUUCAACCAAUCUUAUCAUGCCACAUCAGUUUGUACAAAAUAAGUUUGUACAAGAGUUUGUAACUAUAUCAUUACUCUUAUCGUGGAUUGGUAGAGUGAAAAUCCAAAUCACAAGGGUACUUUAGUAUUUUAACAAGAGUAAAGUAUCCAUUUGAUACAAAUGCAAACUUUUGGUCCUUAUUUGAAGAAAUAUAAAAAUUAAUAUCCUGUUUUGAACUUUUUGUUGGGAUUGGAGGGAGGGAGAGAGAGAGCGAGAAAGAGAGAGAGAGAGAGAGAGAGAGACGGAGAGCCAACAACUCUUCUGUUGAUCUUCUCGGCUUCAGUUAGGGGCAAGGGGUAAGGAGAGCUGACCGUUAGAUUCGAAGAGGAGACAUCUCAACCCUUCACUAUGGGUAGGAGUUUGGAAAAUGCUCAGCCUUCCAUUUUUUCUUUUUUCUUAAAAAAAAUUUAGGUGCCACGUCAUUAUUUUUUAAAUUUUUAUAUUUUUUAUUCAUUGGGGUCAAAAUCUUUAUUGAGGCAUGACAUCGAUGCCAAAGUCACUUGGCAAUAAAAUAAUGGUGAUUAAGAUUUAACAACUCAAGUGAUUCGUAUUGUUUUAUUUUUUUAAUUAUAGGUGAAACUAUUUUAAUUUUAAUUUUUUACUUAAAAAUUAACACAAAUUUUGAGUUAUUAAUUUCAAAC